GAGUCGGUCCUCAGCCGACAAGCAACAAACAAGGUUUGAGGAGAAUGAUGUCAGGAUCUGGACGGUCCAAAACACCAACGGGCUGAGAUUGAGAGACACGCCUACAGAUCACCAGUUACACCUCAUAAGCCUCCGUCUGGUGAAGACGAGAGCUACAGUGCAGCCAACCUGCGGCGCCUCGCCCGCAGCCUGAGUGGAACGGUCAUCGGGUCCCGACCCCAAAACCUCGGCUCCUCCCACAGCUGUGUAU